rnacentral:rRNA from 2 species
GGAAAAGAAACUAACAAGGAUUCCCCUAGUAACUGCGAGUGAAGCGGGAAAAGCUCAAAUUUAAAAUCUGGUGGUCUCUGGCCACCCGAGUUGUAGUCUGGAGAAGCGUCUUCUGUGCUUGGACCGUGUACAAGUCUCCUGGAAUGGAGCGUCAUAGAGGGUGAGAAUCCCGUCUUUGACACGGAUGGCCAGUGCUCUGUGAUACGCUCUCGAAGAGUCGAGUUGUUUGGGAAUGCAGCUCAAAAUGGGUGGUGAAUUCCAUCUAAAGCUAAAUAUUGGCGAGAGACCGAUAGCGAACAAGUACCGUGAGGGAAAGAUGAAAAGCACUUUGGAAAGAGAGUUAAACAGUACGUGAAAUUGUUGAAAGGGAAACGCUUGAAGUCAGUCACGUCUGCCAGAACUCAGCCUUGCAACCUUGCUUGGUGUACUUUCUGGUGGUCGGGCCAGCAUCAAUUUUGAUCAUCAGAUAAAGUUGAGGGAAAUGUGGCACCUUCGGGUGUGUUAUAGUCCCUUGUCACAUGUGAUGGUUGGGAUUGAGGAACUCAGCAUGCCCUUGUGGGCUGGGGCUUUGCCCCACAUCCAUGCUUAGGAUGCUGGCAUAAUGGCUUUAAGCGACCCGUCUUGAAACACGGACCAAGGAGUCUAACAUGCCCGCGAGUGUUUGGGUGGAAAAACCCAUGCGCGCAAUGAAAGUGAAAGUUUGGGACCUCUGUCAUGGAGGGCACCGAAGCCUGGCCCUGAAGUGCUCUGACGGUGCUGCGGUGGAGCGUGCAUGUUGGGACCCGAAAGAUGGUGAACUAUGCCUGAAUAGGGUGAAGCCAGAGGAAACUCUGGUGGAGGCUCGUAGCGAUUCUGACGUGCAAAUCGAUCGUCAAAUUUGGGUAUAGGGGCGAAAGACUAAUCGAACCAUCUAGUAGC